rnacentral:misc_RNA from 1 species
GAUGAAGAACGUAGCGAAAUGCGAUAAGUAAUGUGAAUUGCAGAAUUCAGUGAAUCAUCGAAUCCUUGAACGCACAUUGCGCCCGCCAGUAUUCUGGCGGGCAUGCCUGUCCGAGCGUCAUUUCAACCCUCGAACCCCUCCGGGGGGUCGGCGUUGGGGAUCGGCCCUUUCACCGGGUGCCGGCCCCUAAAUACAGUGGCGGUCUCGCCGCAGCCUCUCAUGCGCAGUAGUUUGCACACUCGCACCGGGAGCGCGGCGCGUCCACGUCCGUAAAACACCCCAACUUCUGAAAUGUUGACCUCGGAUCAGGUAGGAAUACCCGCUGAACUUAAGCAUAUCAAUAAGCGGAGGA